rnacentral:rRNA from 1 species
UACGAAGGGGGCUAGCGUUGCUCGGAAUCACUGGGCGUAAAGCGCACGUAGGCGGCUUUUUAAGUCAGGGGUGAAAUCCUGGAGCUCAACUCCAGAACUGCCUUUGAUACUGAGAAGCUUGAGUUCGGGAGAGGUGAGUGGAACUGCGAGUGUAGAGGUGAAAUUCGUAGAUAUUCGCAAGAACACCAGUGGCGAAGGGCGGCUCACUGGCCCGAUACUGACGCUGAGGUGCGAAAGCGUGGGGAGCAAACAGG